UACGAAGGGGGCUAGCGUUGCUCGGAAUUACUGGGCGUAAAGGGCGCGUAGGCGGCACUGUUAGUCAGGCGUGAAAUUCCUGGGCUCAACCUGGGGACUGCGCUUGAUACGGCAGAGCUUGAGGAUGGAAGAGGGUCGCGGAAUUCCCAGUGUAGAGGUGAAAUUCGUAGAUAUUGGGAAGAACACCGGUGGCGAAGGCGGGUCUCUGGGCCGAUACUGACGCUGAGGCGCGAAAGCGUGGGGAGCAAACAGG
rnacentral:rRNA from 1 species